CAUAAUGACUCUCGGCAACGGAUAUCUCGGCUCUCGCAUCGAUGAAGAACGUAGCGAAAUGCGAUACUUGGUGUGAAUUGCAGAAUCCCGUGAACCAUCGAGUCUUUGAACGCAAGUUGCGCCCGAAGCCAUUAGGUUGAGGGCACGUCUGCCUGGGUGUCAAA
rnacentral:rRNA from 1 species